GUCCCUUCGGGGACAUCAGAUAAAAUUGGAAUGAUAUAGAGAAGAUUAGCAUGGCCCCUGUGCAAGGAUGACACACAAAAAAUAGUGGAUAGAAUGACAAGC